CUUUGUUGCCAGCGGUCCGGCCGGGAACUCAAAGGAGACUGCCAGUGAUAAACUGGAGGAAGGUGGGGAUGACGUCAAGUCAUCAUGGCCCUUACGACCAGGGCUACACACGUGCUACAAUGGCGCAUACAAAGAGAAGCGACCUCGCGAGAGCAAGCGGACCUCAUAAAGUGCGUCGUAGUCCGGAUUGGAGUCUGCAACUCGACUCCAUGAAGUCGGAAUCGCUAGUAAUCGUGGAUCAGAAUGCCACGGUGAAUACGUUCCCGGGCCUUGUACACACCGCCCGUCACACCAUGGGAGUGGGUUGCAAAAGAAGUAGGUAGCUUAACCUUCGGGAGGGCGCUUACCACUUUGUGAUUCAUGACUGGGGUGAAGUCGUAACAAGGUAACCGUAGGGGAACCUGCGGUUGGA
rnacentral:rRNA from 3 species